rnacentral:rRNA from 1 species
UACGUAAGGAGCAAGCGUUAUCCGGAAUUAUUGGGCGUAAAGGGUGCGUAGGUGGCCAUUUAAGUCUUUGGUGUAAGUUCAGCGCUCAACGCUGUGAUGCUAAAGAAACUGGGAGGCUUGAGUGUGGUAGAGGCAAGUGGAAUUCCAUGUGUAGCGGUAAAAUGCGUAAAUAUAUGGAGGAACACCGGUGGCGAAGGCGGCUUGCUGGGCCACAACUGACACUGAGGCACGAAAGCGUGGGGAGCAAACAGG